rnacentral:rRNA from 1 species
GACGAACGCUGGCGGCGUGCUUAACACAUGCAAGUCGAACGGAAAGGCCCUGCUUUUGUGGGGUGCUCGAGUGGCGAACGGGUGAGUAACACGUGAGUAACCUGCCCUUGACUUUGGGAUAACUUCAGGAAACUGGGGCUAAUACCGGAUAGGAGCUCCUGCUGCAUGGUGGGGGUUGGAAAGUUUCGGCGGUUGGGGAUGGACUCGCGGCUUAUCAGCUUGUUGGUGGGGUAGUGGCUUACCAAGGCUUUGACGGGUAGCCGGCCUGAGAGGGUGACCGGCCACAUUGGGACUGAGAUACGGCCCAGACUCGUACGGGAGGCAGCAGUGGGGAAUAUUGCACAAUGGGCGGAAGCCUGAUGCAGCAACGCCGCGUGCGGGAUGACGGCCUUCGUGUUGUAAACCGCUUUCGCCUGUGACGAAGCGUGAGUGACGGUAAUGGGUAAAGAAGCACCGGCUAACUACGUG